UUUUUGGAGAGUUUGAUCUUGGCUCAGGACGAACGCUGGCGGCGUGCCUAAUACAUGCAAGUCGAGCGCGGGAAUCUCUUCUGAUCCCUUCGGGGUGAAGAGAGUGGAACGAGCGGCGGACGGGUGAGUAACACGUGGGCAACCUACCUAUAAGACUGGGAUAACUCGCGGAAACGUGAGCUAAUACCGGAUAAUACUUUUUAUUGCAUAAUAAGAAGUUUGAAAGGCGGCGUAAGC
rnacentral:rRNA from 1 species